rnacentral:rRNA from 1 species
AUGCCGCCAGCUCCGACCGAGGACCGCGCCUUCGGGCUAGGAUGCUUGGCAUAAUGGUCUUCAGCGACCCGUCUUGAAACACGGACCAAGGAGUCUAACAUCUAUGCGAGUGUUUGGGUGUCAAACCCUUUCGCGAAAUGAAAGUGAACGGAGGUGGGAACCCGCAAGGGUGCACCAUCGACCGGUCCCGAAGUCUUCUGAAGGAUCUGAGUAGGAGCAUAGCUGUUGGGACCCGAAAGAUGGUGAACUAUGCCUGAAUAGGGUGAAGCCAGAGGAAACUCUGGUGGAGGCUCGCAGCGGUUCUGACGUGCAAAUCGAUCGUCAAAUUUGGGUAUAG